GAUGAACGCUGGCGGCGUGCCUAAUACAUGCAAGUCGAGCGAACAGACGAGGAGCUUGCUCCUCUGACGUUAGCGGCGGACGGGUGAGUAACACGUGGAUAACCUACCUAUAAGACUGGGAUAACUUCGGGAAACCGGAGCUAAUACCGGAUAAUAUAUUGAACCGCAUGGUUCAAUAGUGAAAGACGGUUUUGCUGUCACUUAUAGAUGGAUCCGCGCCGCAUUAGCUAGUUGGUAAGGUAACGGCUUACCAAGGCAACGAUGCGUAGCCGACCUGAGAGGGUGAUCGGCCACACUGGAACUGAGACACGGUCCAGACUCCUACGGGAGGCAGCAGUAGGGAAUCUUCCGCCAUGGGCGAAAGCCUGACGGAGCAACGCCGCGUGAGGGAUGAAGGGCUUCGGAUCGUAAAACUCUGUUAUUAGGGAAGAACAAGUGUGUAAGUAACUAUGCGCGUCUUGACGGUACCUAAUCAGAAAGCCACGGCUAACUACGGGC
rnacentral:rRNA from 1 species